AUGCAUGCAUGCAUGCGCUAAGUUGCUGCUAGCUCUUGCAAGAUAGAGCUAGAUCUAGCUAGGCUCUUCUAGAACAUUCGCUAUGAUUCGAGAAGGUGACUUGUUUGUAUGUGUAUAAAGGAAGGAAGCUUGGCUCGCUCGCUCAGUCUCUGUGAAGAAAAGAUUCAAAGAAACUACGAUGUCUAUUAUACGCAUUAUUUUGGCCUGUAUUGUGUUCAUCAUUGUAAUCAUUCACACAAUUCUUGGUGUCAAAAAAGGAUUAAAAAUUCUUGAUGAUCCAAGGCCUAUGACUCUAAAAAGUACUUUAGGCAUUAUAACAGAAGCUAUUACUUAAGUGCAGCCUUAAAAGGCAGUACGCAACCACACAUGAGUGUCAGUCUCUCACCCACAUUGUAUACUGAUCAGUGACCGGGAGCCUGGUCAGUUAUACAUAAUGUACUUGGUGCUCGACUCGACAGAUACAUUUAUUGUGUGU